rnacentral:lncRNA from 1 species
UGACGGAUUGAAAUAAAAAUCGAGGUCCAAUUCUAUUCACUCUCUUUUAUUUCAUUUUUUUGUCAUAUUUGAUGCAUUGAAUUGAAUGUUUGAUGUUGAGUUCUCCAUUGGUAAUGGAUAGUUGCUUGUGUUGAUGCGUCGUUCAUUUACUUGGAUUAUGUGAUGAAAUGGUACCUCAUUUGAGAAUUAUAAUGGAUUGUUUUGGGGCGGGAAUUGCAAAAAUCGAUAAAAAGUGAAUAUUGUCGUAUUUUCAUUCAUUGUUGAUGUUUAAUGUGGUAGUUUCAUGCUUUAAGUCGAAAAGGGUAGGCAAACGAUAAGGGGUAGGAGAAGUUUUAGGAAUUGUGGAAUAUUGAAUGCUUGAAACAUGUGUUGAAUGGCUUGGUUUUAUUGCUUUUUGGAUCAAAUGUAUCAUUUGGCCGGGGAAUGCCUCGAGCUAUUUGUAUUUAUU